GACAGAGGAUGCAAGCGUUAUCCGGAAUGAUUGGGCGUAAAGCGUCUGUAGGUGGCUUUUUAAGUUCGCCGUCAAAUCCCAGGGCUCAACCCUGGACAGGCGGUGGAAACUACCAAGCUGGAGUACGGUAGGGGCAGAGGGAAUUUCCGGUGGAGCGGUGAAAUGCGUAGAGAUCGGAAAGAACAUCAGUGGCGAAAGCGGCUUCCUGGACCAGUACCGACGUUCAGGCACGAAAGCGUGGGGAGCAAACAGG
rnacentral:rRNA from 1 species